AGCCCAGCCCUGCCCUGGUUUAUUCCCCGUGAGGUGCAAAGGGGUGACAACGCUGCCACCACCCUUUGCCAGGCUCUGAGCUCGGUCAGGGAUUAAGAGAAGAUCAAGCCAAGCUUCUUCACACAAAACCUCCAGAGCACUGGCAUCCUGACUGGCAAAUUUAAGAGAAAAGGUUAAUAUGAAACUCACAGCUGAGACACUAAAGGAUAUUCGAGCCAGAAGAAGACCUACAGGCCAAGAUGUCGGCUUGGAUGUUUUGUGUGUAUUUCAAAGCUCUACUUUGACCCCAUUUUCAUGGUUUAGUCUCUGGACUUACCCAAUAUCAAGAGGCUCUGUGCUGAUUACUCUGUUUUCCUGGGACCAGAGGAAAGAUGAAAUAUUAUUUGUGAGCUGCUUUAGAAUUCCUGCUUUGUUCCAGCUGAACUUAAUUCAGUUGUCUACUCUUCACCAUGCUGGGAGCAUGAAUCAAAGAGAAGAUGAUGUUUGUCAAGGCUUGGUCAACGUGGGACCAGAGGGGCUGAAAAGAAAUCCAAAAAAGCUGGAAUGACAAUUGUCUUCUGCCAAGAAAUUCAAGGGCUGUGUGGAUGCCACUGAUUUGACUUCUCUGCUGCUUUCAGAGCUUAUCUGAAGAGUUUCCAUCCCACAAUCACCAGUUUUCCAGACUGGUGAAAAGAACAAAA